AUCGAACGCUGGCGGCAGGCCUAACACAUGCAAGUCGGGCAAGAGGCGGACGGGUGUGUAAGGUAUGGGGAUCUGCCUGAUGGAGGGGGCAAACUUCUGGAACCGGUAGCUACUACGGCAUACCAUCAGAUGACACCAUAUGUGCUUAGCUUGUAGGUGAGGUAACGGCGCACCUAGGCGACGAUCCCUCGCUGGUCUGGAAGGAGGAUCAGCCACACUUGGCCUGAGACACGGCCCAGACUCCUACGGGAGGCAGCAGUGGGGAAUAUUGCACAAUGGGCGAAAGCCUGAGGCAGCCAUGCCGCGUGUAUGAAGAAGGCCUUCGGGUUGUAAAGUACUUUCAGUCGGGAGGCGUUACCGACAGAAGAAGCACCGGCUAACUCCGUGCCAGCAGCCGCGGUAAUAC
rnacentral:rRNA from 1 species